rnacentral:rRNA from 1 species
UACGUAGGGGGCGAGCGUUGUCCGGAUUUAUUGGGCGUAAAGAGCUCGUAGGCGGCUUGGCAAGUCGGGUGUGAAACCUCCAGGCUCAACCUGGAGACGCCACUCGAUACUGCCAUGGCUAGAGUCCGGUAGGGGACCACGGAAUUCCUGGUGUAGCGGUGAAAUGCGCAGAUAUCAGGAGGAACACCGGUGGCGAAGGCGGGUCUCUGGGCCGUAACUGACGCUGAGGAGCGAGAGCGUGGGGAGCGAACAGG